GUGAGGAAUUUUCCGCAAUGGGCGAAAGCCUGACGGAGCAAUGCCGCGUGAAGGAUGAAGGCCUAUGGGUUGUAAACUUCUUUUCUCAGAAAAGAAUUAUGACGGUAUCUGAGGAAUAAGCAUCGGCUAACUCUGUGCCAGCAGCCGCGGUAUGACAGAGGAUGCAAGCGUUAUCCGGAAUGAUUGGGCGUAAAGCGUCUGUAGGUUGUUUAAAAAGUAUUCUGUCAAAGAUUAGGGCUUAACCCUAGAUAGGCAGAAUAAACUUUUAAGCUAGAGUUUGGUAGAGGCAGAGGGAAUUCCCGGUGGAGCGGUGAAAUGCGUAGAUAUCGGGAGGAACACCAAAGGCGAAGGCACUCUGCUGGGCCAAUACUAACACUGAGAGACGAAAGCGAGGGGAGCAAAUGGGAUUAGAAACCCUAGUAGUCC
rnacentral:rRNA from 1 species